CCUACGGGAGGCAGCAGUGAGGAAUAUUGGUCAAUGGACGAGAGUCUGAACCAGCCAAGUAGCGUGAAGGAUGACUGCCCUAUGGGUUGUAAACUUCUUUUAUAAAGGAAUAAAACGAGGCACGUGUGCCUUUUUUCAUGUACUUUAUGAAUAAGGAUCGGCUAACUCCGUGCCAGCAGCCGCGGUAAUACGGAGGAUCCGAGCGUUAUCCGGAUUUAUUGGGUUUAAAGGGAGCGUAGAUGGGUUGUUAAGUCAGUUGUGAAAGUUUGCGGCUCAACCGUAAAAUUGCAAUGGAUACUGGCAGUCUUGAGUACAGUUGAGGUAGGCGGAAUUCGUGGUGUAGCGGUGAAAUGCUUAGAUAUCACGAAGAACCCCGAUUGCGAAGGCAGCUUACUAAACUGUGACUGACAUUGAUGCUCGAAAGUGUGGGUAUCAAACAGGAUUAGAUACCCGGGUAGUC
rnacentral:rRNA from 1 species